GUGAGGGAAAGCUUAACACAAUUAUUCAAUCUUUUAUUUUGAAGUAAACAAAUAAAACUAACAUAUUUGUGAGAGGAAGUAAGAUAUACUCCUUCGUCAAGUGAGCGAAAUCAAAACCGAAUAAAUAGACAUGGAAAACAAAACGAACGAGAAAGCUUCAUCUUUAAGAUGGAAAAUCCUUCGUCAAGCUCUUCUCUCUAAUCCCUCUCCUCCAAAUCCAGACGAACAAUCUCAAUUGAGUAUCAAACACAUUUCAAGAAGAACCACUCACGGAUUCAACUUGAUACCCUCUCAUGUAAUCGAUGAUGAACGUAGUUCAAAUAAAUGCAAUGGUUCUUCUGCCAAAGAUGCUCGAGUUUGUUAUACUUUGCCAAUUCCUGGCGCUCCUCAACUGUUUUUGAGGCAAAGAGUUGACAACCAUGCUGACCUCGAUGAUUUUCAGACAUGUAACAGAUAUAACAUUGACAACACUGGGCUUGUCUGUAAUUGGCCAUCUGAAGAUGUUCUUGCUCAUUAUUGCUUGUCGCAUAGAGAUAUAUUCAGGUCUAAAAAGGUUAUUGAGAUUGGUUCUGGCUAUGGUUUGGCUGGAUUUGUUAUUGCAGCUGUUACUGAGGCAUCAGAGGUUGUAAUCUCAGAUGGAAAUCCACUAGUAGUUGAUUAUACUCAGCGUAAUAUUGAAGCUAAUUCUGGAGCAUUUGGGAAUACAGUUGUGAAGUCAAUGAUGCUUCAUUGGAAUCAGGAAGAUAUUUCUAGUGUUGCAGACAAUUUUGAUAUCAUUGUUGCAAGUGAUUGCACUUUCUUUAAGGACUUCCACAGAGAUCUUGCUCGAAUUGUCAAGCACUUGUUGUCAAAAACAAAAUCUUCUGAGGCUAUAUUUUUAAGUCCAAAAAGAGGCAACUCAUUGGACCUGUUCUUGGAGGUGGCUGAAGAAAAUGGCCUGCAUAUCAGUGUAACAGAGAACUACGACAAAGAAGUCUGGAAACGUCAUGCGGGAUUCUUGCAUGGUGCAGAUAGGGACUCUUGGCCUAGUUAUGAGACAGGGCACUGCUAUCCACUCUUAAUCAGAAUUACCCGUUGAACUUUCUUCUAGACAUUCUGCCUGGGGUUUCCUUUCAUUGUUGGUUGACUGUUAAAGAAAUGUCUAGUGCAGACACUACGCAUAUGUAAUUUUUUGUUGGGGUCACAUCUUCAAUAGACAGUACUAUUUUCAUCCGCGAAGGUUCAAAUGAACAUGAAGCGGAUGUGACGAUUCACGUCAAAAGUGAAGAUUAUAAUAUCUGUCCCAAAAGUGCAUGAGAUUAUUCAUAACCUUUUUUUAGCCCACUAGGUCUUUAUAACCCAAAAGAAAAGAAGGAAAAAAGAAAAAGCAAUCAAUAGUUUUUCAUGUGCUAUAAAAUAUUGUUGAUAGUGAUUAAAAUGCUUGCACAAGUGUGUCUUGAUUAUGAUUAAAAAAUGCCAGAAAAAAAGUUUCCCUUAUCUUCGUUUAAGCGUCAUAGUUACAAGUAUAAAGCUUUGAGAUAAGCAGUCCAUUGUGUAAACAAAGCAACUCCACCAUUGUGAUGACGCUGUACUGUGUUAAAAGAUAGCAUUUGGUUCUAUUAAACUACCAAGUUGAACAUUAAUGCUUUUUUUUCUUGUAUCUAAUAGUAAUAGUAAUGAGACGUGCUUUGUCUUUGCAGUGA